UACGUAGGGGGCGAGCGUUGUCCGGAUUUAUUGGGCGUAAAGAGCGUGUAGGCGGUUCGGUAAGUCUGUCGUGAAAUCCUGAGGCUCAACCUCGGGCGUGCGAUGGAUACUGCCGGGCUAGAGGGUGGUAGAGGCGAGUGGAAUUCCCGGUGUAGCGGUGAAAUGCGCAGAUAUCGGGAGGAACACCAGUAGCGAAGGCGGCUCGCUGGGCCACACCUGACGCUGAGACGCGAAAGCUAGGGGAGCAAACAGGG
rnacentral:rRNA from 1 species